rnacentral:rRNA from 1 species
AGCUAGUUGGUGGGGUAAAGGCCCACCAAGGCGACGAUCGGUAGCUGGUCUGAGAGGAUGGUCAGCCACACUGGCACUGAGAUACGGGCCAGACUCCUACGGGAGGCAGCAGUGAGGAAUAUUGCCCAAUGGGCGAAAGCCUGAGGCAGCGACGCCGCGUGGACGAUGAAGGCCUUCGGGUUGUAAAGUCCUUUUCUGAGGGAAGAGAAAUAGGACGGUACCUCAGGAAUAAGCCUCGGCUAACUACGUGCCAGCAGCCGCGGUAAUACGUAGGAGGCAAACGUUAUCCGGAUUUACUGGGCGUAAAGCGCGCGCAGGUGGUGUUGUAAGUUGGGCGUGAAAUCUCUCGGCUUAACCGAGAUAGGUCGUUCAAUACUGCAGCACUCGAGGACAGGAGAGGGAAGUGGAAUUCCCGGUGGAGUAGUGAAAUGCGUAGAUAUCGGGAGGAACACCAGUGGCGAAGGCGACUUCCUGGACUGUUCCUGACACUGAGGCGCGAAAGCCAGGGGAGCGAACCGAAUUAGAUACUCGGGUAGUCCUGGCCCUAAACGGUGCGGACUAGGUGUUGGGGGUAUCGACCCCCCCAGUGCCGAAGCUAACGCGCUAAGUCCGCCGCCUGGGAACUACGGCCGCAAGGCUAAAACUCAAAGGAAUUGACGGGGCCCCGCACAAGCAGCGGAGCGUGUGGUUUAAUUCGAUGCAACACGAAGAACCUUACCUGGGCUUGACAUGCAGACGACAGCGGCGGAAACGUCGCCUUCCGUGAGGACGGAUGCACAGAUGCUGCAUGGCUGUCGUCAGCUCGUGCCGUGAGGUGUUGGGUUAAGUCCCGCGACGAGCGCAACCCUCGUCGUUAGUUAAAUAUCUCUAGCGAGACUGCCGAGAGAAACUCGGAGGAAGGUGGGGAUGACGUCAAGUCAGCAUGGCUCUUACGCCCAGGGCUACACACACGCUACAAUGGCCGGUACAGAGGGUUGCCAACCCGCGAGGGGGAGCUAAUCUCAAAAAACCGGCCCCAGUUCAGAUUGCAGGCUGCAACUCGCCUGCAUGAAGUCGGAGUUGCUAGUAACCGCAGAUCAGCAUGCUGCGGUGAAUACGUUCCCGGGGCUUGUACACACCGCCCGUCACGUCAUGAAAGCCGGUAACACCUGAAGCCGGUGGGCCAACCGCAAGGAGGCAGCCGUCGAAGGUGGGAUUGGUGAUUGGGACGAAGUCGUAACAAGGUAGCCGUAGCGGAAGCUGCGGCUG